CUGCAUUCUUUAAAACCCCCCGAGAGCUGCGUGUCGCUUCUGGGACAAGUACGAAUGCUAGAGAAAACCAAGAACUUUCCAAAGCUACGUCUUCACAGUGACUAUUAGCUAUUUCACCUCUUGAACAUUG
rnacentral:snoRNA from 1 species